AGGUGGUGAAUCCUCCGAUAAGGGCAAAGAAAUUGUACCCGAGGAUCGAUAGUCAGAGUACUUUAAAAAUUCGACUCUCAAAAUAGUGGUGAAUCCUCCGAUAAAGGCAAGGAAAUUGUACCCGAGGAUCGAUAGUCGGAGUACUCUAAAAAUUCGACUUCCGAAAUACUUGCUGCAAUGGGCGAGUUCUGUGGACCAACCUAUUAGAGGGGCACGAAAUCUGGUUAUAGACAUACCUCGGUCAGAGAGGCGCGUAGGGUAUCUCUUGAGGUAUGGUUAGAGUUCACGUCACGUCGAACCACCUAGUG